GUGCCAGCAGCCGCGGUAAUACGUAGGGCGCGAGCGUUGUCCGGAAUUAUUGGGCGUAAAGAGCUUGUAGGCGGUUUGUUGCGUCUGCUGUGAAAGACCGGGGCUUAACCCCGGUAUUGCAGUGGGUACGGGCAGACUAGAGUGCAGUAGGGGAGACUGGAAUUCCUGGUGUAGCGGUGAAAUGCGCAGAUAUCAGGAGGAACGCCGAUGGCGAAGGCAGGUCUCUGGGCUGUAACUGACGCUGAGAAGCGAAAGCACGGGGAGCGAACAGGAUUAGAAGCCCCAGUAGUCC
rnacentral:rRNA from 1 species